UACGACUACAUAUCAGGCAUAUCAAUAAGCGGAGGAAAAGAAACUAACAAGGAUUCCCUUAGUAACGGCGAGUGAAGCGGGAAGAGCUCAAAUUUGAAAUCUUCAAGGUUUUACCUUGACGAAUUGUAGUUUAAAGAAGUGUUUUCUGUUGAAGUUUUGGUAAAAGUUCUUUGGAAUAGGACAUCAUAGAGGGUGAGAAUCCCGUAUUUGACCAUUAUUUUCAGCUGUGUGAUACACUUUCAAAGAGUCGGAUUGUUUGGGAAUGCAGUCCAAAAUGGGUGGUAAAUUUCAUCUAAAGCUAAAUAUUGGCGAGAGACCGAUAGCGAACAAGUACCGUGAGGGAAAGAUGAAAAGAACUUUGAAAAGAGAGUUAAACAGUACGUGAAAUUGUCAAAAGGGAAGCGUUUGACACCAGUGUUGUUUUCUCGAAAAUCAAUUAAAAAAAGUUGGAUUUUGUGUUGUAUUGACCUUAACAGCUUGCUUCACUCUUUUCCAGCUUUUUUUAAUGCACUUUUCGUUUAACAAGUCAACAUCAGGUUUCUUUUGUCGUAAAAGGGUCAUUGGAAGGUGGCUUUCUCUUCGGAGAAAGUGUUUAUAGCCUUUGAUCUCUGCAAUCGGAGAGACUGAGGUCUGCAGCGUAGAUCCUUCGGGGUUAGAUACAUUUGUGCUAAGCUACAGCUUUUCAUAGACAACUUGUUGACUAUGUUUAGUCUUGUGACUUACCCGCUUAUGCUAUUUACCUACGCUUAGGAUGUUGAGCGCAUGUCUCUCUCU
rnacentral:rRNA from 1 species